rnacentral:rRNA from 1 species
AACGAACGAGGGAGGAAGGAAGAACACAUGCAAGUCGAACGAGACCUUCGGGUCUAGUGGCGCACGGGUGCGUAACGCGUGGGAACCUGCCCUUAGGUUCGGAAUAACUCCCCGAAAGGGGUGCUAAUACCGGAUAAUGUCUUCGGACCAAAGAUUUAUCGCCUUUGGAUGGGCCCGCGUUGUAUUAGCUAGUUGGUAGGGUAAAAGCCUACCAAGGCGACGAUCCAUAGCUGGUCUGAGAGGAUGAUCAGCCACACUGGGACUGAGACACGGCCCAGACUCCUACGGGAGGCAGCAGUGGCGAAUAUUGGACAAUGGGCGAAAGCCUGAUCCAGCAAUGCCGCGUGAGUGAUGAAGGCCUUAGGGUUGUAAAGCUCUUUUACCCGGGAUGAUAAUGACAGUACCGGGAGAAUAAGCUCCGGCUAACUCCGUG